AUACUUACCUGGCAGGGGUGACUUCAUGAUCAUGGAGGUGGUUUCCUCAAGGAGAGGCUUAUCCAUUGCACUCUGGAUGGCCUAACCCCUGUGAUUUCCCCAAAUGCAGGAAACUGACCGCAUAAUUUAUGAUAGUGAGGGACUUGACUGCAUGUUCUCACU